rnacentral:misc_RNA from 1 species
CUAUAUAGAGCAACGGAGAGAGAGCGAGGGCAAGAGAGAGAGAAUGAAACCCAAGUUUUCAAUAAACAAACCCAAAAUCUAUGACAUAGCAACAUGGUUUUAACUUAAAAUUGAUAGGAAUUUCACAUAGUUCUCUGCAUUCUAAAACAAAAUGGAACUGCCAAAAUUUCAAAGGAGGAACCGCUAAUGUGUAGUUUCACAUCAAAUAGACGAGGACAUGCAUUACAUUAACUUAAGCCUCAGUGAUGGGGUACUCAAACACAACAUCUUUGCCUGAGAGCUUUCUGUAAACUGCUGAAAAGGUCUCCAACUUAUACUCGGUGUUGUUUCGUUCCUUGGGGUCCAAGUACACCUUCAUUAUCUUGGAGCCAUCAACACGAUACCUAGUACGCUUCCCAACAAUCUCCGCAGGGACUACCAAGUCCUCCAAUAUGGCAUCAUGAACAGAUGUAAGAGUUCUGGUGCGGGGUCGUUGAGCAGCUGAACCUCUCUUGGGAGGUCUCACUAUCCUCCUGGUGGCAAUAAAGAUCACAUCCUUGCCACUGAAUUUCUUCUCCAACUCCCUAACAAGGCGAACAUGAACCUUGCGGAAAGCUUUCCUCAGUCUGUAAGGAACAUGGAUAACAACGGCCUUCCUGUUUCCUGACACAUCAAUUUGAGUUGCUGAAUUGAUGUAUAGGUCUUUCAAUUCACUUUUCAGCUCUUGGUUAGUGUUUUCCAAAUCAAAGAAAGCCUGCGCAACAGUCACUUCAAACUCAGAAGGUUCAGCAUCUUUAUCUUUGUGAAUCUUUUGCUUCGACGUGUACAUCUUCACAGAUCUGUUCACUAACCAAUCAAAACAGAAACUGCUAGUGAGAGGCAACUACAGAGCUGAUGUUUGUGUGGGAGCCAAAAGCUUUGUUUGCGGGAGUAAGAAG